rnacentral:lncRNA from 1 species
UAAAUAUGCAUUUCAUGACGUUUAUGACGUCACAUACAACGGUCUGGUCUUUCAACGUUGAACUAAGACCGCUGAUUUCAUUGGCCAGUUCAGUAGGUCAGUUGGAUCUGACCAAUGAAAUCACCUACAAAUCGAGACAGACUUCUUGUGGAUUAUAAACUCCUGUCAUCCAAAAAUUUGCUUGUUCAAUCUUGCCAUAUUUGCCGUUGAUCAUAAAGACGGGUAACGGCAGUGAACCCAAUGGGGUUCUGUGUGUUUUAUGGUAUUGCAUGUAUUUACAUGCUCCCGCCGAUACAGAAACUUUCGGAUCGCUAUUACGGUUUCUUUAAAUUCUUCCAGCAACGCUUCAGCAAAAUCAAUAUUAAUUAUCAAUACUUCACGAAAAAAAAUAAAAUAAAAAAGAGAAAGUACAGACUUCAACGUAUAGGGUAUGUGUAACAUCGUCUUCAUAAUAUACCACUGUUAACUGAAUUCUCAUUCGAGUAAUUGUAUUCAGGGGUUGCAGAGCAUGGAUUUUUAUUAUCAAUGCCUAAUGUAAUUUAUAUUACGUAUGAUACAAAUAUCGCGCCUUGGUCACAAAGGUCAAACAACUCUAAAAUUGGCGUUUUUGAGUUAAUAAAAAUAUAUGUUAAUACUAUACAAUUUCCAUUGCUGAGGUUCGAAUCUUUAACCACGCGAAGUGACACUUGUGUAGUCGUAAAACUCGCAACCCAGAGGACAGAAGUGUUGUCAUCGUAGCGCGCCGAUUUUGAACCGGAUGGGCAUCAAGUAUGUCGUUUCAAACGUUUCGCAGCCAACUUUACACCAGUUAUAAGACUUGAAUAGUUACACAAUAUCUCAAAUUGUGACACUUCAUACGAAUAAGUGUCAUUUUCAAUCUGGUCACUACCUGUUGUUUCGACGAAGAUCGUGAACCUGGAGACCGAGGAGGCAAUAACUUGUCGAAUUGGCGCGUCAAUGCAACUUGUAGAACAGCUUGGAAACAACUUCAGCAACACGACGAAUGGUGAUGUAGUUAAAAUGGGCGAUAUGAAGGUGUUGAAGUCGUUAAGGAUGGAUCGGGAAUACUGUAUUUCAAAACGUCAUGUGACAGCAGGAUUACGCCAGGAUUAAGGUGAAAGGUAAAAAAAAAGUAAUUGUCAACAUUGAGAAACUCGAAUGCAAAGCAGCGCACACCAAAAAAAUCACUGUUGCGGUGUUGGAAAAUAAAAGAUGUUUCACUCUAUUGUAAUCAUCUGGAUGUCCUUUAUCUCAUUCCUCAUCAAUACACAAUUGUUCUUGUGCCAAAAUAAAUAGUUAAAGGUGAAACGGUGAGUGAGUAACAAAAAAAAAAAAAAAUUUAAAAGUGUAUUACUAUGAUCCCGUGGUCAUAAGCACAAAAUGUAGGAGAGAAAACUUCAAGAACUAUGACAGAAU